GACGAACGCUGGCGGCGUGCUUAACACAUGCAAGUCGAACGGAAAGGCCCUGCUUUUGUGGGGUGCUCGAGUGGCGAAAGGGUGAGUAACACGUGAGUAACCUGCCCUUGACUUUGGGAUAACUUCAGGAAACUGGGGCUAAUACCGGAUAGGAGCUCCUGCUGCAUGGUGGGGGUUGGAAAGUUUCGGCGGUUGGGGAUGGACUCGCGGCUUAUCAGCUUGUUGGUGGGGUAGUGGCUUACCAAGGCUUUGACGGGUAGCCGGCCUGAGAGGGUGACCGGCCACAUUGGGACUGAGAUACGGCCCAGACUCCUACGGGAGGCAGCAGUGGGGAAUAUUACACAAUGGGCGGGAGCCUGAUGCAGCAACGCCGCGUGCGGGAUGACGGCCUUCGGGUUGUAAACCGCUUUCGCCUGUGACGAAGCGUGAGUGACGGUAAUGGGUAAAGAAGCACCGGCUAACUACGUG
rnacentral:rRNA from 1 species